CCUACGGGAGGCAGCAGUGGGGAAUAUUGGACAAUGGGGGGAACCCUGAUCCAGCGACGCCGCGUGAGUGAAGAAGUAUUUCGGUAUGUAAAGCUCUAUCAGCAGGGAAGAAAGAAAUGACGGUACCUGACUAAGAAGCCCCGGCUAACUACGUGCCAGCAGCCGCGGUAAUACGUAGGGGGCAAGCGUUAUCCGGAUUUACUGGGUGUAAAGGGAGCGUAGACGGCGAUGCAAGUCUGAAGUGAAAGGCGGGGGCUCAACCCCCGGACUGCUUUGGAAACUGUAUGGCUUGAGUGCAGGAGAGGUAAGUGGAAUUCCUAGUGUAGCGGUGAAAUGCGUAGAUAUUAGGAGGAACACCAGUGGCGAAGGCGGCUUACUGGACUGUAACUGACGUUGAGGCUCGAAAGCGUGGGGAGCAAACAGGAUUAGAUACCCGAGUAGUC
rnacentral:rRNA from 1 species